rnacentral:rRNA from 1 species
UACGUAGGGGGCAAGCGUUGUCCGGAUUCAUUGGGCGUAAAGAGCGUGUAGGCGGCCAGGUAGGUCGGUUGUGAAAACUGGAGGCUCAACCUUCAGAGGUCGACCGAAACCAUCUGGCUGGAGUCCGGGAGAGGAGAGUGGAAUUCCUGGUGUAGCGGUGAAAUGCGCAGAUAUCAGGAGGAACACCGAUGGCGAAGGCAGGUCUCUGGGCAUUAACUGACGCUGAGGAGCGAAAGCAUGGGGAGCGAACAGG